rnacentral:tRNA from 1 species
GGGGCAGUAGCUCAGUGGUAGAGCUCCUGCUUCGUAUGCGGGUUCCCGGCUGCUUCA